UUGUGAGUUGCGUGUGAGUUUGGUAAUUAUUAAAACCCUGUAGAGGUCAGGUUUUUCUGAAAAAAAUAAAAACUCACUGCAGGUUGUGGGCAGAUUUAGUAAUUUAAAUUUUUUACAGGUGUAAGUUUAGUAAUAAUAAACCUACAGCGGACGGUACACAUUAACAUCUCUACCACUGUACAACGGCCGGGAUUUCAAGAUAAACCACCACCAUUGUUGACUAGGUUGAUGGGCGUGCAUGACUCUCAAUGGUGAAGGCAGGGCAACCCAAAUUAUUAUUAUUAUUUUUUAAUCGACUACAUUCUAUUUGCUUCAGAGGUAUGCUAAUGAUCCUUAUGGCGAUCAUCCUUAUUAGGAGCAUCCUACAUUAGUAUACUUCGUCCAUCCGAUGGGUGUCCCUAGUGCAUCUGUUGGGCCUCUUUAGCAAGUCUUAUGGACGUCUUUUGUUUAGUUGACCUUGUGAAAUCUAUGACACUUUCCUUCAUCCUCUUGUUGAUCCCUUAAGGGGCCUUCGGAUCAUCCCAGAGGUGAAGCCCACAAUGGACUAACAAUAACAAUAACAAUAACCAUAAUAAUAACAAUAAUAAUAAUGAUGAUGAUGAUGAUGAUGAUGAUGAUGAUGAUGAUGAUGAUGAUGAUGAUAAUAAUAAUAAUAAUAAUAAUAAUCAAUUACAAAUUAUCCUAAUUAAAACCUAUAUUAAAAAAUAAAAAAUUCUCAACUAGCAACCUAAUAUGUUGAUCCAAUUUCUCCAAAUCGCAAAAAUAAAAUACAUCUUAUGAAACUUAUUUAGACAACACAUCAAAUAAGUUGGAAAUGAGUUUCUUUGAGAUUGCACGGUUGUCCAUAUUAAAAGAGAAAAUGCUGAUAAUAUCGAUUCAGAUAUGAUAAUAGGUGAGUUUUCUUUUUUGAAGAAUUGUAGGAUAAAACUUUGAUUUUUUUAAUUCAUGUUGUACUUUUAUUAUUAGUUCUUUGCUUAUGUAUUGUAUUUCAAUAAUUUUGUUUAUAGGACAACCGUUUCGAAGAGUAAGACUUAUAUUAGGUGCAUCUUAAAUUCUUAUUAAUAAAUUCUCUCAUAUGAUAGAAAAGCAUUUAAUUAAUAAAAGAGUAACGAUAUUUAACCCCCUUAACUCUUCUCAUUAGCCCUCGUUAUUCAAUUAAUACUUAAUACCACUUAUUUUGAAAAUUACCCUUAUUAAGAAAUAAAUAUUUUUUUUUCUUCUUUUCACUCUUAUCUCCUUUGCACUCACUCUUCAUUCAGCCACAAUUAAUAUUAUCACUACCAUUAGGGAUGGCAAUGAGGAGGGGACUGACAUCCCCUACCCAUUCUCAAUGUUUUGCAUAUGCCCCUAUCUCCUCUCCAUCCCCAUUAGAAUUAUAUGACCCCAAAAUAACUUAUAUGCUUUUCGUUUUUGAACUCAAUUUAAUCGUAUUAACCCAAAAUUAUAUGAAAUAAAGUGAUAAUAAUCAUGAAUGGGUCUGAUUUCAUUCUACUUAGUCAAACUUUUGGUAAAUAUAAUAUUCAAAUAAUGUGAUUUUUAUACAAUAUUAGCACGGGUGUUGUCCAUAAGCAAUGAUACCUUUUGGCCACCAACUAUGGCGCAAUGAAGCCACGUGUGAGGUUGCUAGUUGACGUCGCGACGAGCUAGGCUACUCAGCCAUCGAUAACGUGACAUGCUACUGGACUAUAAUGUAGGGAUGAUAAUUUAACCCGAACUCGGACAAACCCGGAUAAUUCGAACCGGGUUCAACCCACACCGAAAUAAAAUUAAUCCGAAAUUAAUUUUAUCAACCCGCAUAUAUACGGGUCUGGUUAUGGGUUUGGGUUUGGGUAAACUCGGAAAUCCGAAACCCGGGCCCAGAUAUAUUUAUCUUAAUAUUAUUUUUAAUUAUUUUUAUAAUAUAAAUAGGAAAGAAAAAUCAGCCUUGAGUCACACUUCUACAGCCCCAGCCACCAAACCAAAGCCAUUCUUUUCCUUCCUCUUCAACUCCUUCUCUUUCAUCUAAUCUUCAUCAUCUUCACACUUUCACAGUUGCCCUAGCCAAAGCAAAGUAUUAUUUUCCUCUCUCUUCAACUCUUCUUUUCAUCGAAUCAUUGUCGUCACUUUUUAUUAUUUUGCCACCUUCACUGUGUUUCACGUUCAUCAUCAUCACUGGUCGUCGCUUGUCUAUCUAUUUCAUGGGUUUUGGUUGAUGUUUGUCUGCCUUUGCGAUUGUAAUCGCGGCUGUGGCGCUGUGUUCAUCAUCAUCAUCAUCAUUGGCCUCCAUUCGUUGCUUCACCGAAGGCAUAUCCUUAAAGUUCGUAAAAAUUAAAUCGUGAAUCGUCAGUUUGAAUUAUAGAUCUAUGUUAUGGAUUUGUAUUUGUGAAUGUUUUAUUGCUUUGAAUCAUUGAAAUUAGAAUAUGUAUUUGCGUUUGAUCUUUUAAAUUAGAAUCUUGAUUUGUAUGCGGAUCUUUUUAUUUCCGGAGGCAAUAAAUCCAAGUUUAAAUUCGGAUCCAAAACUGGAAAGGCCAAACCCGGACCUGGACCCAAAUUUUGCCAUCCCUACUAUAAUGAGAUGAGGACGAGUUAGGUGCUGGUUAUGACGCGAAUAAUUUAGAAAUGAUGAGUAAGAUUGUGAGAGAGUGACUGGCAUUUGAUUUAUAAAUUGUGGGCUUAUAGGAUUGUAGGCUUUGGGUUGUAGUUAAGUAUAAAAUUACAUUAAACUUUUUAUAUUAACUAAUAUUUAUAUUAUUUGUAUAAAUAUUUUGAUAUUUGUUAUUUACACUAAUAUUUAAUAUUUUACAAUUUUAAUUUUAUUAGUUAUUCACUCAUAAUUAAAAAAUAAAAAUAAAAUUAAAAAUUAAAACAAGGAAUGGGGAAAUUGGAAGGAGAUAGAGAUUCCACCUAAUCUUCGUUUUUUUCUCGAAUAAGAAAUUGGAUAAAAAAUCGUCUCCAUUCUUUUUCUGAGUAAGAAAUUAGGUAUAAAAUCAUACCCAUACCCUCCUUAAAUAGGGAAAACCCCAAAGAUUCCCUUGUCAGUGGGUAAUUUUGCCAUCCCCAACAACCAUAUACGAGUGAUUUUAAAGAAAAUGAUAUACAUCCCAUUGCAACACUAGCCACCCUGCUUCACACUAGAGCAAAGAAUUGUUGCGCCUCAUGACAAAUGAUGCAGAGCAAAGCCACCAUGCCACACCACGUGUCUGCAUCAUGCCAUGUCAUCAAGGAAGCCACCUAUCACGAACCGCUCAAAUCUCCUACAAUUGGAGGAUAAUUCAACACACACGGGUUCGUUUAGCAAAAGUCCGCCUAGACGUGGAGCGCGCUUAGCAACAAAGGGAAGAUACACUUAGAAGUGGGAUGCGCUCAGAAAUGGACCGCCAACACAACAAACCAUGGUGCGCUUAGCAAAUCACCCAAGUCCAGCCCAAGAUUUAGAAUUCUCUACAAUUGUAAAUUAACUAGAAGUUUAUAGAUUUCUUCACUUAGACCCCUAGGAUAUUUAUGCAAGUUGGAACUCUCUAAACCUAGCACCCUAACACCUAUAAAUAGGGUUGAGCCCCCUCAUUUACCCAACAACCACACCACACACACAAACACUCCAACACAUACACAAGCUCUCUAGCUCUCUUGUAAUUUAUUCUUUAGUGUGUAAUAAAAUAUAUUUUGGCCAUAUUGCUCUAUUCUCUUUAGCAUUUUCGCAAGCAUUCUUUCUUUACUAGUUUGAGAAGUGUUCUAGGCUUACUUUGCGAUUUAUGUGCUAAAAGUUGCCUAAGUGCCGCACGGAUUUGCUGCGCAUACUCAUCCUGUGACACAUCGCUUGCAUACCACAAAGCAAACCCAUUUUUGAAUUUCUGGCAAAUUUCAUUUCAUGUUUUCUUUGUAAAAAUAUAAUCUUUUUUUAAUAAU
rnacentral:lncRNA from 1 species